rnacentral:lncRNA from 1 species
CCUGGCAGCCCAAGCGUCCCCACCCGGUUUCCGGCGCUGCCUCCUUCAGGAGGCCGGGUUCUCGGUUCUCGCUUUCAUGGGCACUGGCCCCUCCGACUGGACCGGCCCUCCCCUGCUUCCUUCCCAUUCCCUUUCGUGUCUCCUCCUCCAGCGGGCCUCCCCUGACUCCCAGGCCGUGUUGGGUGCCUCCUGCCCAAGCCCCCAGCGAGCCCCUCAGGCCCCGCCGUGAUCAUCCGUCUUGAUCUCCUCUGUGCAGGGCUCCAGCGCCUCCAGUAGAUGAGGCGCUCUGGGAGGGCAGGGGCCUGUCCCACCCGCUCUGGGCCCUGCUCCAGCCCCGGCCUGUGCUGAAUCGAGAACGGCACGCUCUCUGUGUCUCCACCACCCCCUGCCCUCUCGCCUCCAGCCAUGGCGCCCCUGCUCGCCCUGUUGCUGGUGGCCCUGGUGGGCCUGCCUGUGGCCCAGGCUCUGGAGUGCCACGUGUGUGCCUACGAAGGAGAGAACUGCUUCAACCCCAUGCCCUGCCCGGCCAUGGUCGCCUACUGCAUGACCACGCGCACUUACUACACUCAGACCAAGAUGAAGGUGAGCAAGUCCUGCGUGCCCAGAUGCUUCGAGACCGUGUACGACGGCUACUCCAAGCACGCGUCCACCACGUCCUGCUGCCAGUACGACCUCUGCAACGGCGCUGGCCUCACGGCGCCCGCGACCCUGGCCCUGGCCCUCAUACUCCUGGCCACCCUCUGGGGUCUCCUCUAAAGCCCUGUCCCGCCUCCGCAGACUGUCCAGCACAAAGCUCUGAGCAGCACGGACCCCACCCUCUGCCCUCCCAGACCCCCCAGCCACACCCAGGACUGUCUGCAAGAGAACCCGACCUCCCCUGGCCACCCUGGGGUCAGCUUCCAGGUCACGACCUGUUACUUCCAAAAGGCUCUUGUGGGACCACGCCUCCUGAGGCAUCUGUCCAAGGAUGGGGUGCAGGCAGAGCUGUGCUGGAGGGGGAGGCGAGAUGAGGGACCCAGGGGUGGUGGACAGUGGUAGGACGAAGGCUCUCCAAGGCCCCAAAGGGGCUGUCUCUGUGUCCCUGACUGAGGCGGGAGCUGCCCAGGGCAGGUGUGGCAUGGGGGCUGAGCCACGAAGGCCUGUGUCCCCGUUGGCUGUCCCGGGGAGGGUGCCAGCCUCUGUCCAGUGGCCUGUGGCCGGGGACGGCGUAGGUCCGCCUAAAGAGACCUUCCAGCCCCAGGAGUGGAUUCUGGGUCCAGUGCGGGGGUCUGUCCCUUCUUACUCAGCCAGACCCUUGACCUUCCCCCUCCCCACCCAGCACUGGGCGGCCGCAGGACAGGCCAGGCUAUAUUUGGUCAAGCCUGAGAGCUGAGCCCAGGGCUAUUUUGGGCCAGGAAAGAAGGGAGCAGUGUGGCGGCUGCGGAGGCCUGGCCUUUAGUCCCAUAGCAGGUCCUGGCAGAGUAGAGCCUUUACGGGGGUGGUGGUGGGGGAAACCACCUCGGGGGCGCCAGAGAGGAUUCUGCCAGAGAGGAUUCUUCCCCUCCUCCCACAAGUCGGACAGUCCCCCCGGUGGGGACGGAGGGCACAUCCUCGAACUGGAGCGGGGCGCCCUCUCGUGGCUGCCUGGGGUGGCGCUGGGCAGGGGCAGGCUGGGCCUGGGGGACGGAGCAGGAGGGGGCGGCGGGGAGGGGGGAGUGGAUCCGGAUGGAAGGGAGGGGGAUCGGGGUCAAGAAAGGGGGGGUGCGCACCCCUCGCCCCCUCCUGAGGAGUGACCAUUGUCCCGCCACCUGCAGCAGGCCCCUGUGCUCUGGCCUGCGGGCCCCGCCGGCAUCCUGAACAAGCGGUGGUGCACCGGCCUUGGCCUCCAGGUCUGCUCCAUCCGGAGGGUUGCCAAGGGCCCUGCAAGCUCCACCUCAGGGAGGGGCUCUCAGGAGCCCCCAUGCCAGCUGGGCAUUGGGAUCCCCAGGGACCCAGGCAUGGGCGUUAUUUAAGGGGCACCCACCCAUGGUGAGGCUGGGGAGGCACAGGUGUGUCCAGGGAGCCCAACCCUCCUUCUUGUGAGACCGGACAUGACACGCAGCCACUUUUCUGGGGUCACGCAGCACCAGAGGCCUCCUCACCUGACCACUGCCCCAGUUCCAGUGUUCACAGAGGAGCCCAAGUGGGUGAAACGGUGGCAGGUGCCCAUGUGGGGGGUGGUUCUAGAACUUAGAAGCCCUGGGCCCCGAAGGGUGGCCCUUGUCAGAGGGACCUGUGCUGGAAGUUCCCUCCUGAGAGCUUCCCCCAGGACUGUCAGGCCCCCAGGGAUGGGGACGCUCUGGCAGCCCGGGUCGGGGUCCUUAGGGGCUGGCAGCGUGCUCUGCCCAGACAGC